GGGGAUGUAGCUCAGUGGUAGAGCAUUUGCCAAGCAGGCAUGAGGCCAUGGGUUCAAUCCUUCAGUCCUG
rnacentral:tRNA from 1 species